rnacentral:rRNA from 1 species
UACGUAGGGGGCAAGCGUUGUCCGGAUUUAUUGGGCGUAAAGAGCGUGUAGGCGGCUUUACAGGUCCGUUGUGAAAACUCGAGGCUCAACCCCGAGCGGUCGUGAGAAACUGGCAGGCUAGAGUGCGGGAGAGGAGAGUGGAAUUCCUGGUGUAGCGGUGAAAUGCGCAGAUAUCAGGAAGAACACCCGUGGCGAAGGCGGCUCUCUGGAACGCAACUGACGCUGAGACGCGAAAGCGUGGGGAGCAAACAGG